rnacentral:rRNA from 1 species
AGAGGGGUGCAAGCGUUAAUCGGAAUUACUGGGCGUAAAGCGUGCGUAGGUGGGGUAAAUUAGUCAGCUGUGAAAGACCCGGGCUUAACCUGGGCAGGCCAGCUGAUACUGUUUAUCUAGAGUACAGUAGAGGGAAGUGGAAUUUCCGGUGUAGCGGUGAAAUGCGUAGAUAUCGGAAGGAACACCAGUGGCGAAGGCGUCUUCCUGGACUGAUACUGACACUGAGGCACGAAAGCGUGGGGAGCGAACAGGAUUAGAUACCCUGGUAGUCCACGCCGUAAACGAUGAAAACUAGCUGUUCGGGGGGGUAGACUCCUGAGUAGCGCAGCUAACGCAUUAAGUUUUCCGCCUGGGGAGUACGGCCGCAAGGUUA